GGAUGUGAGGGCGAUCUGGCUGUGACAUCUGUCACCCCAUUGAUAGCCAGGGUUCAUUCAGCUGAUCUGGCUGGCUAGGCGGGUGUCCCCUUCCUCCCUCACUGCUCCGUGCGUCCCUCCUGAAGCUGCUGUGUACUUUCUCGAAGAGGAUGACCUUCCCCGAAUAGAGGAGGACCAGUCUUCAAUUAAGGGUCUACAAGUAGCUGUGCUCCCCUGCUAGACCCUCCAAACAAGCUCUCAAAUGUAUAAUGAAUCCCAGGUAUGUCUGGUGGCACUUGCCUGUGUUAUAUCACAUGACUUCACUGCAACCUUGUUUUUUUUUAAAAUACAUUUUU
rnacentral:snRNA from 1 species